UACGAAGGGGGCUAGCGUUGCUCGGAAUCACUGGGCGUAAAGCGCACGUAGGCGGCUUCUUAAGUCAGGGGUGAAAGCCCAAGGCUCAACCUUGGAAUUGCCUUUGAUACUGAGGGCCUUGAGACCGGAAGAGGUCGGCGGAACUGCGAGUGUAGAGGUGAAAUUCGUAGAUAUUCGCAAGAACACCAGUGGCGAAGGCGGCCGACUGGUCCGGUUCUGACGCUGAGGCGCGAAAGCGUGGGGAGCAAACAGG
rnacentral:rRNA from 1 species